rnacentral:rRNA from 1 species
UGGGGAAUUUUGGACAAUGGGCGAAAGCCUGAUCCAGCCAUGCCGCGUGCAGGAUGAAGGCCUUCGGGUUGUAAACUGCUUUUGUACGGAGCGAAAAGGUCUGCCCUAAUACGGUGGGCUCAUGACGGUACCGUAAGAAUAAGCACCGGCUAACUACGUGCCAGCAGCCGCGGUAAUACGUAGGGUGCGAGCGUUAAUCGGAAUUACUGGGCGUAAAGCGUGCGCAGGCGGUUAUAUAAGACAGAUGUGAAAUCCCCGGGCUCAACCUGGGAACUGCGUUUGUGACUGCAUAACUAGAGUACGGCAGAGGGAGGUGGAAUUCCACGUGUAGCAGUGAAAUGCGUAGAUAUGCGGAGGAACACCGAUGGCGAAGGCAAUCCCCUGGGCCUGUACUGACGCUCAUGCACGAAAGCGUGGGGAGCAAACA